rnacentral:rRNA from 1 species
UGGGGAGUAUUGGACAAUGGGCGCAAGCCUGAUCCAGCCAUGCCGCGUGAGUGAUGAAGGCCUUAGGGUUGUAAAGCUCUUUCGCCGACGAAGAUAAUGACGGUAGUCGGAGAAGAAGCCCCGGCUAACUUCGUGCCAGCAGCCGCGGUAAUACGAAGGGGGCUAGCGUUGUUCGGAAUCACUGGGCGUAAAGCGCACGUAGGCGGAUUGUUAAGUCAGGGGUGAAAGCCUGGAGCUCAACUCCAGAACUGCCCUUGAUACUGGCAAUCUCGAGUCCGGAAGAGGUAAGUGGAACUGCGAGUGUAGAGGUGAAAUUCGUAGAUAUUCGCAAGAACACCAGUGGCGAAGGCGGCUUACUGGUCCGGUACUGACGCUGAGGUGCGAAAGCGUGGGGAGCAAAACAGGAUUAGAUACCCUGGUAGUCCACGCCGUAAACGAUGGAGGCUAGCCGUUGGCGAGCAUGCUCGUCAGUGGCGCAGCUAACGCAUUAAGCCUCCCGCCUGGGGAGUACGGUCGCAAGAUU